UGUUUAUGCAGAGAACGCGCGUUUAAAUGACAGAUCUUCAAGGCAGAUUGGUCAAGGUUAUAAAAUGGGGUGUAACAGAGUUUCAAAGAUUUAUCUGUUCGUAAUUUUGUCAUCUCAGCAACAACUUUGGCAUCGACUGCUAUUUUAUUCUCACACAGGAACACCAAACAAAUUUCUAGCAUGAGAAUCAAAGAUUCUAAAAGACCCAUCUGCAACUUUCAAUAUUGCCACAGUAUUGCAACCAAUAGUAAGCAGGGCAAAACUGUAUGUUAGCUCAGAAAAUAGGAAUAUGUUAUUUAAUGCACUUAGAAGUGUGAAAUAUGGUCGACUAUUGCAUGCCAUGAAUACAUCACCAGCAUAUGACUCACUGUAUUGUAAAUUAUAGAUUAUGUCAUUAACAGAAACCAUUUCAGGCACAUCAGUCAAUAGCAACAAGUCUUUAUUCACUGAAUUGGAUAUACAUGUAUAAAGGUCAUUGCCAUUAAUUAAAAUUGUGUUUAAUAAUUCUGUAUCCCAGGUUGUAACAUCUUGUAUUUGGCUGAAGAUUAUUGCAGUCAAGGACAUAGCAACACAUUGCUUUCCUGCAUUUUGUCCAAAUCUGACUUCACAACCUUGGCUAAAAUCAGCACACACAGUUUUUGUUGCAUCAACAAUGUCAUAUACUGUAGGUCCUGGGUUUGUUUCCACAUCAUUUGACAAUCUUAGUAAACCAGGCACAUACACUUGGUGAUAACAGACCAUUUUGAUAAACCAAAUUACUGGUUCAUUUGAUCUACUGUAUUGUUCAUUUAUUUGCUUUAAUGUUGGGAAGUAAAAUACAUUUAAAUAAAACAUCAUCAACAUUGUGUUCCAGAAAGUACCUGUCAGACGUCUGGACACUUCUCUUUGUCUCACAAAGUUUGCAUGAGAACCAACUCUUGCUCGAUAUUGUUCAAUUGACACUCCCAUGUCUAGUAUGAUGUCACGUGACUGUCAGUAGUUUUGUGCAGACUGUCUUUUGUUUGAUUUGUUAUCCAGUUUCAGAUGAAUAUUUUUGUAUACUUUUUGGCAAUUUUGUAGCAAGUUUUUAGCAAGUUUUUAGCAAGUUUUUAGCAAGUUUUUAGCAAUUUUUUUGCGGACACAAGGUCCCAGUUUAUGGCUUUUUCGAUUGCGAUACAACACGCAAUUGCCUGACAAACGAGUCAGUGCAGACACAAGGCCCCGUUUAGUUUAUAGAUUUUUCGAUUGCGAUACAACACGCAAUUGCCUGACAAACGAGUCAGUGCAGACACAAGGCCCCAGUGAGUUUGUUGCUGCGAUGACUCGACGAGAAUCGCACUAAAAGACAAAACAAAAAGCGUGCUUAACAAACUGCAUGUCACCUCGUCGACUUUGAGACAAGCCUCGGCCCUCAAGGUCAACACAUUUAUAGAUAAAUACAGCUAAGCCUAAGGUGAAACUGGUUAGCGUACCUUGAAUGAGAUGAAGUAGGGCGACGUUUACCAGCAAAAAACGGCCAAAUCAAAUCGAAUUUUGCGAACUUGUCUUUGGCAGUUUGCUCAGAACUUGUCGACAAAAUUAGCAGAUCAGAUCGUACCGGAAAUUGCGGUCAUCACGUGAGCAUAUGACGUUUUUAGGGCGCCUGCGGUUCCCCCAUCCGUUUCGCGCAUGCUCAGAUAUUUUGCAUUUAUAAUUUGCCAUAAACCCCGUCUAGCCUCUGCGUGAUGACUAAGCGUUCCGCAGUCCUUAUGGACAGCGGACGCAAAAA